GCCUCUUUUUUAAGUUUCUCCGAGACUCAAAAGAAGUUUUAAAAAAAAUCUUCUUGUUCCUUCAGUGUUGAACGAGAACAAGAGAGAGAGGGGUGAGAAGAGCAAGAUCGUGUCUAGACGAAGUAAUCAACGUGCACAUGACAGUUGGGGAUUAUGCUUGUUUGGAGGAUUGAAAGAAGGGCGUGUGAUAGUUUCUUUAAAUAAGGGUCGCUGAUCUUCAAGCUAAGGACACAAGGAAGUGUAAAAUAACUAUUUGAGGAGGAGUCUAGGAAAUCUAGGCAAGAGGUCUGAUUAGAGGGUAUUAUGGAGAUUGAGAGUAGAGCAAGAUUACUAAGAGGAGGAUUGGUGAUUUGUUUACAUAUUAAUCGACUAGGCAUGCUUCAAGAGGUCUUAGCUCAACGGAUCAGCAAGACGGACAGUGACUGACGACGGCCUCGUUGGGAUUGACUUUGGAAUUAAAAAUGUUUAAUAAUUCUCGAGUUAGUAUGAGUGACAGUGGAGUGUUGUUGCUUAUCUAUUUGUAAAAUGUACGAGCUCUAAUAAUUCAUGUACGAUGUCUCAUGGGGUGUUAAGGUGUGAUAGCAUUGUAUACGUUGUUUGUCUGAGAGGAUUCGAAUUUAUAGGGUGAUUGGUGUUAUGACUUGUUACGUACACUAUUGCACAGAUGUGUUCUUGGUUGCAGUUAGGUACAGUUGUGCCUUAGUAGAAGUUUGGUGGUGUUGUACUAUGUGUAGGGAGUGGUGGUUGUACAUGGAGUGUUAUUAAUUUUCCUUAUUUUAUUUGUCAGUUAUCUGGUGGU